rnacentral:lncRNA from 1 species
CUAGAAAGAGCAUACUAAAAUUAGUAAAAUUACAAAGUUUGGUUGCGAAAUGUUGUAAAAUGCGGAAAAUAUAGCCUUGUAAAGUUCGCAAAUUUUGUAUACUUUUGUAUUGCUUGCGGAAAUUCCUACCACAUUCCUACCACAUUUAGGCCGAAAAUGUCGCACGCAAUACAAAAGUAUACAAAAUUUGCGAACUUUGCAAGGCUAUGUUUUCCACAUUUUACAACAUUUCGCAACCAAAUUUUGUAAUAUUACUAAUUUUAGUAUGCUCUUUCUAGC